GUGAUCUUAAUCGUGGAAUUGCUCUUAUGCUAGAAAGAGAAUCUGAUACUGCAUCGCUCUUCCACUGGUUUCUCUGUAUUAAUAUAAACAUCUGCCAGAAAAAUCAUAUUCAUUCUCUCAUAUCAAGAAGUCUCUGCUUUUCUUGCAUUUCUAGUUUUCUACUCAACAUAUAUCACUUCAAAUGGUAAGAAGUCAGAACCCCAUUUUUGCUUCGUUUUGAACUAAGGAUUUGCGUUUAUGUUAGAUAAAAAGAUUGUGAAUUUAUUUUUAUUUUUACCUUGAAUAAAUCUGAAGAACUCCUAGUUUUCUAUCAUUUUUAUAUUUGCUGUUGCCUUGGCAAUUCUCUUUCUUUCUGCUUUAUACAUCCAAAGAUUAUAUCUAAUAUCAAAGCCUGACUUUAUAAACAAAAAAGAAUUUCAAGUCUUCGUGACAAAUUUGAUCAUACAAAUUUUGAGAGAAGUAUCUAUUUUUCUAGGAAAAUAUAAAGGAAAAAUCAAGUGGGAAAAAAAAGAGCAUACUUGUAGGACCAUGGGGAGGAAAUGGUGGGAGUAGCUGGGAUGAUGGAAUCUAUAAUGGAGUUAGAGAAAUCACCCUUGUUUUCGACCGUUGCAUAGACUCAAUCCAGGUUGUGUACGACAAGAAUGGCAAGCCAGUCACCGCAGAAAAACAUGGAGGAGUAGGAGGCAGUAACACAGCUGAGGUUAUCUCUAUUCUUAUUUCUCAACUAUGCCCACCAAUUUGCACUGCAUUUCUUUGGUAAUCGCAUAAUUUUAUGUUGCACAUCAUGGAAAUUUAUAAUAUACACCGAAAGCACUAAACACGAAGCAUAUGUUAUAGAGGAAGUGCAUGCUCCGAGAGCUCUAAAUAAUCCCGCUUGUUCAGAUAAAGCUCCAAUAUCCAGAGGAGUUCCUAGUGAGUGCAAGCGGCCACUACAGCCCUGUGGUUCCCGGUUGGAGUCCAGUGAUUCGGUCGCUGACAUUGAAGAGCAACAAGAGAACAUUUGGACCAUUUGGAGUAGAAGAAGGGACACCCUUUACUCUUUCCAUGGAUGGAGGAUCCAUUGUGGGAUUUAUGGGAAGAAGUGGAUGGUACCUUGAUUCUAUUGGAUUUCGGUUAUCUCGUUCUCAGUCUACUAAGCUUCUCCAGAAGGUUCAAAAAAGUCUUCAAAGGCUUACUAGUUCUGUUUCAAAAUCUUCUGCCUCUAAGAAGGAUAGUGAACAGCAACAAAAGCCUUAUUAUUAAGUUCAAUUGAGGCUAGCUGCUUGCAACUUGAUCUUUGUGUUUGUGUAUAGGAUCUUGUUUUGUAUUAUAUGUGGUUCUGCUUACAAGAAUAAAUCUAGUUGAUUUGCGAGAUUAUAUCAUAUGAAAAAUUCUUGCUUAGACUCUAGUUUAUACACUUCGUUAAUAAA
rnacentral:misc_RNA from 1 species